CAUCCACAAACUUCAACCUAACAAAGCAUUAACAUACACAAGACAGACCCAACUCCCCUUCAUGGAUUAAUGCCUCUGCAACGUACUUUGGACAAAAAUGGACCAAACAUUUCAAAAAUGAAUAUAGUAAGGGUCUAUCAAAUAAUAACUUGCAUCAGGAACAGCUCAUUCUGAGAAUUACCCUCACUGGAGCAAUAAUGUUGCUAAACCUAGGUGAGGUUACAUCAAGCUAUACCAACAGAUACUUCCAUCAAAUUUGUUAUUAUACUGAAUGACCCAUUGCAUUUGCACAAGGUUUAAGC
rnacentral:misc_RNA from 1 species